rnacentral:rRNA from 1 species
UGGGGAAUAUUGGGCAAUGGGGGAAACCCUGACCCAGCAACGCCGCGUGAGGGAAGAAGGUUUUCGGAUUGUAAACCUCUGUUCUUGGAGAAGAGAAGGAGACGGUAUCCAAGGAGGAAGCCCCGGCUAACUACGUGCCAGCAGCCGCGGUAAUACGUAGGUGGCGAGCGUUGUCCGGAAUUACUGGGUGUAAAGGGCGUGUAGGCGGGAAAGUAAGUCAGAUGUGAAAUACCGGGGCUUAACUCCGGGGCUGCAUCUGAAACUGUUUUUCUUGAGUGUCGGAGAGGAAAGCGGAAUUCCUAGUGUAGCGGUGAAAUGCGUAGAUAUUGGGAGGAACACCAGUGGCGAAGGCGGCUUUCUGGACGGUGUCUGACGCUGAGGCGCGAAAGCCAGGGGAGCGAACGGG